UCAAAAAAUAUUGACUUUCUCUCACUCUCUCUUUGUCUUUCUCUUUCCCUCUAUUAUCUUUCUUCCUUCUGCAUUCCUCUUUCUCUUUCCCUCUCUCUCUCGUCCUUUCCUUCACUUUCUCUCUUCUUCCUCCUUCUCCCUCUUCCUUCUUCCUUCUUCCUACAUAUGCAAUUUGUAUUCUUUCCUGACACGGUUUGUUCUGUUGAGCGCUGAGGACGAUGAUGAACACGAUGAUGGUGAUGUUGAUGUUGUUGGGUUCGUGAUGAACGAUGUUGAACGAUUUUAGAUGAAUGAGUUGAGUUGGUUGAAGAUCUAUGAAGAUGAUGACGAAAGCUACGAAUCUGAAUCUCGGGUGAGAUCCGACCCUUCCACGGGAUUAGGGUUUCAGGAGAUCUCGGUCGCAAGUUCUUUUCCAAUAUGUUUUGUUUUCUGCAGGAACUUUUUGUGGUGGUUAUGCAGAUUGGUUAGCAGAAUUUUGUGGGAAGUGGCGGUUUGAGUCGGUGAUGCAGCCUGUUUCUUCGGGAACCAGUUUGUUAUUCGUUUCGGUUGAGCUUUAUGCAGGGCUGCAGUUCUGAUAUGGUUUAUUUUUUUUCCUUAAUCUCUUGACGUUAAAAACAUUUUGUUGUACAGACACGACAACUUCAUAUCCAUCUUAAAGUUUCGGUUUUUCUGAAUGUUUAGAUCUCAUCAGGUAUGCAUUUAACUUUAAGGUUUUUGUGUAACAUUGAAAUGUUAAUUUACUCAUUUUCUUUAUAUUUUUCAUAUUUCAUGCUUGUGUGAUCUUAUAUUCUUCAAGUAUUUUUCUUUCUGCAAUGUUAAAUCUGUUCUUGUACAUGAAGAGCAUUGCAAGGCUUGUGAUACUGAGCAGUGUGACUUAACGGUAGAUAUCGGCUCUGACAAGAUAGAAGGUAUCUCCAUAUUUUUCUCAAAACAAAUGUAAACUGACGUUCACUUUAUCUGCAGUUACCGUGGUGUACAUUUUACUCAAAAGUGGCUAUAUUAAGAGACACCAUCAAAAUAGUUUUUACUCAAAAUGGCUGUACCCAUCUACUAAAUCUGGUUUUUUAUAGAACCCUAUUGUGUUAAUUGAUCCACUCAUAGGAGACCUUACUUAAUACCUUACUUAAUUGGGGAUAAGAUUUGAUUGCUAUUGUUGUGUUGAUCUUGCCUUCUGGAACUACAUGUACUUGAUAUCGGACAAAAGAGUCCUAUUUCUUUGUGUUGUCUUCAAAAUGUAAGAAUUCUAACCCGAAUAAACACUUGCAGAGGAGCUGGUAACAGGCUUGUCUUGUGUGUCAUGGGAAAAAGUAGAUGUUAGCUUCCAGAGAUUUGCUGCUCAUAGUGUAAUUCAGGUUAAAGUUCGAAUCUCACGUAUAGAAGGUGCAGAUGUUAUACAUCACUUGAUUGACCAUUUUUUGACAUAGAAGAUGUCAGUCCCCAGAGGUGUAUUUAUAUCGCUUAGCAAUAAAAGCUUUGAAUAGGAUGGAAACAACUGGUUUCCUGAGUUAUAAAGUUCCUCCCAUUAGUUGAGGUGAAGAACUGUAAUUUUGCCUAUCGAUGAUCCUUGACAAUGCUUUAUGUAUGUGUAUAAUAUGUAGAUAAGGAGUUUUUCACGGCUUCCAUGAAAGCAAUUGAAUCAGCACAUUUAAUUAUUGAUGUUGUAAUCUUUUGGCAAUAAUAUGGCUCAAAGAAAUUAUCCAGGAAUUAUAUAAUUUCCUUGAAGUAUUUCAAAUUUGAUAGAUAUACCGAGCCUUAUCACGUCUUUUAAAAUUUGAUAAAAGCAGAGCUAAGAAGAAUAAGGAUGUCAAGGAAUUCAGUGUAAAUCAUUUAAAGGUCGACAACACGUUAAAAGAGAGCGUUGCUCUUUCCACUCUAAUGGGUUCUCUCACACCAUAGUCCAACUCAACAUCACUAAAUCGUCAUAUCUCUCACAGAGAUAUGGAAAUGGCAUCAACUUUGGAGAUGGAUACGUAG